rnacentral:tRNA from 1 species
AUUUAAAUAGUUUAUUUAAAACGUUAAUUUGUGGAAUUAAAGAUAUAAAGAGAUUAUUUUAGAUC